rnacentral:rRNA from 1 species
UGCCAGCCGCCGCGGUAAUACGUAGGGUGCAAGCGUUGUUCGGAAUCACUGGGCGUAAAGGGCGUGUAGGCGGAAUGGUAAGCUAGGGGUGAAAGCCCGGAGCUCAACUUCGGAAUUGCUUUUAGAACUGCCAUUCUAGAGAAGGUUAGAGGUUAACGGAAUUCCUGGUGUAGAGGUGAAAUUCGUAGAGAUCAGGAGGGACACCGGCGGCGAAAGCGGUUAACUGGGGCCUAUCUGACGCUGAGGCGCGAAAGCGUGGGGAGCAAACAGGAUUAGAUA